GCCGCGGUCCGCUCGGGGAAGCUGGCUGCGCGGGGCUGAGAGGUGAUCAAUACAAGUGGAAAGUGCGGCAGCGGCGGCUGCGCUCGGUGCCAGGCGGCAUCUGGGGGGAAGGAAAAUGAUUUAAUGCCCAACAAAGCUGGAGUCCGGACACCUGGGUUCUGUUCCUCGCACCCACCACCUACCCCGGGCCACAAGACUAUUCUAGCUCUAGACAGCCCCAGACCAGCAGUGGUUCAGUUCACUACAUAACCGAAUAUAAUUUAAUGGAGUUAAUUGGUCCCCGAAGCUGCCUGCAGAAGACUUUUGUAUUUCCAGCUCAAAAAGAGAGCUAAUACCAAAACGUACAUACGGAUAGCAUAGGUAAGCAAGCAUCCCCAAAUUAGGGUUCUGGCACAUCUAAUAAAAUAUAAUAAAAACUGUGUUUGUUAUUAAAUA